GGCGCAGUGGCCUAAUGGUUAAUGGUGUGUUGGACUCCGAAUCGAGCGGUCCGGGUUUGAGCACUGGCCUGGGUGUCA